UACGUAGGGCGCAAGCGUUGUCCGGAAUUAUUGGGCGUAAAGAGCGCGUAGGCGGUCCGGUAAGUCGGUUGUGAAAGUCGGGGGCUCAACCCUCGAAUGCCGGUGGAUACUGUCGGGCUAGAGUGCGGAAGAGGCGAGUGGAAUUCCUGGUGUAGCGGUGAAAUGCGCAGAUAUCAGGAGGAACACCUAUUGCGAAGGCAGCUCGCUGGGACGUAACUGACGCUGAGACGCGAAAGCGUGGGGGACGCAAACAGG
rnacentral:rRNA from 1 species